rnacentral:rRNA from 1 species
UUACCAAACCUAAUAAAACUCCGAAUGCUAGACAUUGUUCUUCAACAGACAGACUGUGGGUGCUAAGGUCCAUGGUCGAGAGGGAAAGAGCCCAGACCACCAGAUAAGGUCCCAAAAUUAUGAUUAAGUGUGAAAGGAUGUGGAAAUUCCUUAACAGCCGGGAGGUUGGCUUAGAAGCAGCCAUCCUUUAAAGAUAGCGUAACAGCUCACCGGUCUAAUAGAGUUUCUGCGCCGAAGAUGUAACGGGGCUAAAAUCAUAUACCGAAUCUGUGGGUUUAUAAAACUUUCGAGUUUUAUAAGCGGUAGCGGAACGUUCUGUAAGCCUGUGAAGGAGUACCCGUGAGGGACUCUGGAGGUAUCAGAAGUGCGAAUGCUGACAUAAGUAACGAUAAAAGAAGUGAAAAACUUCUUCGCCGAAAAUCCAAGGGUUUCUGCGCAAGGUUAAUCCGCGCAGAGUUAGUCGGCACCUAAGGCGAGGGCGAAAGCCGUAGUCGAUGGAAAUAAGGUUAAUAUUCCUUAACCAGAUGGUAGUGACGGAUCUUGUAAGUUGUGUACUCUUAAUGGAUUGAGUAUGCCGCGAAAAGGUUCCAAGAAAUAGCUCCAUCAUUAGACCGUACCCUAAACCGACACAGGUGGAUUAAUAGAGUAUAUUUAGGCGCUUGAGAGAAUGAUGUUGAAGGAACUCGGCAAAAUGCUUCCGUAACUUCGGGAUAAGGAAGACCCUCCUGUAGGCAACUAUGGAAGGGUGGCACAAGCCAGGGAGAAGCGACUGUUUAUCAAAAACACAGGGCUCUGCUAACACGUAAGUGGAUGUAUAGGGUCUGACGCCUGCCCGGUGCUGGAAGGUUAAUGCGGUUGGUGCAAGCUAACUUCUGAAGCCCCAGUAAACGGCGGCCGUAACUAUAACGGUCCUAAGGUAGCGAAAUUCCUUGUCGGGUAAGUUCCCGACCUGCAUGAAUGGCGUAACGAUUUCUCCGCUGUCUCACAUCACUCAGUGAAAUUGAAUUCUCCGUGAGAUGCGGAGUUCGCGUAGUUAGACGGAAAGACCCCGUGCACCUUUACUGCAACUUUACAUUGGUGUUAGGAAAAACAUAUUUAGCAUAGGAGGGAGACAUUGAAGCAAAGGCGUCAGCUUUUGUGGAGUCACCAGUGAAAUACCUCUUUUGUUUUUCUUGAUAUCUAACUGAUUGCCGUCAUCCGGCAUCAAGACAUUGUAUGGUGGGUAGUUUGACUGGGGCGGUCGCCUCCCAAAUAGUAACGGAGGCGUGCGAAGGUAGGCUCAG